rnacentral:rRNA from 1 species
GGCGAACGCUGGCGGCGUGCUUAACACAUGCAAGUCGAACGGAAAAGCCCUGCUUUUGUGGUGUGCUCGAGUGGCGAACGGGUGAGUAACACGUGAGUAACCUGCCCUUGACUUUGGGAUAACUUCAGGAAACUGGGGCUAAUACCGGAUAGGAGCUCCUGCUGCAUUGUGGGGGUUGGAAAGUUUCGGCGGGUGGGGAUGGACUCGCGGCUUAUCAGCUUGUUGGUGGGGUAGUGGCUUACCAAGGCUUUGACGGGUAGCCGGCCUGAGAGGGUGACCGGCCACAUUGGGACUGAGAUACGGACCAGACUCCUACGGGAGGCAGCAGUGGGGAAUAUUGCACAAUGGGAGGAAGCCUGAUGCAGCAACGCCGCGUGCGGGAUGACGGCCUUCGGGUUGUAAACCGCUUUCGCCUGUGACGAAGCGUGAGUGACGGUAAUGGGUAAAGAAGCACCGGCUAACUACGUG